GUUCCGGUGGCUCAGCUGGGUAGAGAGAUGGCUAUGGGGCAAAUGUCCGGGGUUCGAUUCCCCGCUAGAGUU